UGGGGAAUAUUGCACAAUGGGCGCAAGCCUGAUGCAGCCAUGCCGCGUGUGUGAAGAAGGCCUUCGGGUUGUAAAGCACUUUCAGCGGGGAGGAAGGCGAUAAGGUUAAUAACCUUGUCGAUUGACGUUACCCGCAGAAGAAGCACCGGCUAACUCCGUGCCAGCAGCCGCGGUAAUACGGAGGGUGCAAGCGUUAAUCGGAAUUACUGGGCGUAAAGCGCACGCAGGCGGUUUGUUAAGUCAGAUGUGAAAUCCCCGGGCUCAACCUGGGAACUGCCUCUGAUACUGGCAAGCUUGAGUCUCGUGGAGGGGGGUAGAAUUCCAGGUGUAGCGGUGAAAUGCGUAGAGAUCUGGAGGAAUACCGGUGGCGAAGGCGGCCCCCUGGGCGAAGACUGACGCUCAGGUGCGAAAGCGUGGGGAGCAAACAGG
rnacentral:rRNA from 1 species